AUUCCUUCCCGUUCGGACCUGGCUGCACCCCCGCUCCAAAUCCCAAACCCCACGCGAUCGCGCGCCCAAUUACUCGAGGCGAUCCCUCGUUGACCCUCCCCAGCGUCCAGAUCCGGCGACUGCCGUCUCAAAAGCAUCACCCCAACCCCUCGAUAAAUCGCCACGCCACCGCUCAGUCGACAGCAUCCCACCGCUCUUCGCUCGACCCCUCCACCCGCUCUCCCUCCUCGACCGCCGGCGGAUCCGUCCAGGAGCGGAUCAUGUGACUUCGACCACAAACGAAGAUGUCUAAUCUCUCAGAGCCCUCAAAAGAAGAUGGUUCAGUCGAGAAAACUGGAGCUUGGAAUAACACAUGGAGCACUCUUAUGCGCCACGCUUCAGUCUAUGGUGUGGCUGCUGGUUAUUGCCUGUCAGCAUCUCUGCUCUCCAUUAUCAACAAAUGGGCAAUCAUGAAGUUUCCCUACCCUGGAGCACUGACAGCUUUACAGUACCUCACUAGUGUUGCUGGAGUUCUCCUGUGUGGACAGCUAAAGCUUAUUGAGCCUGAUAGGCUGAAUUUGAGGACCAUGUGGAAGUUCUUACCUGCUGCUGUUAUGUUCUACAUCUCAAUCUUCACAAACAGCGAGCUCCUGAUGCAUGCCAAUGUGGACACUUUCAUCGUGUUUCGGUCUGCUGUGCCGAUAUUUGUGGCCAUUGGGGAGACACUUUACCUUCACCAACCAUGCCCAUCAUUCAAGACAUGGCUCUCACUUUCCACUAUACUUGGUGGAAGUGUGAUAUAUGUUUUCACAGAUAACCAGUUCACCCUGACUGCUUACAGCUGGGCAAUAGCCUAUCUAGCGAGCAUGUCUAUUGACUUCGUGUACAUCAAACACGUCGUCAUGACCAUCGGGUUGAACACAUGGGGCCUUGUGCUCUACAACAACCUUGAGGCUCUGCUCUUGUUCCCCCUUGAGCUCCUUAUAAUGGGAGAGUUUAAUCAGAUGAAGGUGGACAGCUCCAAGAUGACAACAAACUGGCUAUCGUUCGACGUGGUCCUUCCUGUUGCUCUGUCAUGCCUGUUCGGGUUAUCAAUAUCCUUCUUUGGAUUCUCCUGCAGACGGGCCAUCUCUGCUACUGGAUUUACGGUGCUCGGUAUAGUGAACAAGCUCCUGACCGUCGUGAUCAAUCUGCUUAUCUGGGACAAGCAUGCGUCCCUUGUGGGGACAAUUGGGCUCUUGAUAUGCAUGUCUGGUGGUGUUCUCUACCAGCAAUCGACCACAAAGCCCAAGGUGCCCAAGAUCGAGCCAAAGGAAGAGGACGAUGAAGAGGGGCAGAAUUUGCUGCAGGUUCAGCCCGGGCAUGAGAGCAACUCAAGUCAAAAGCAUUCCUCCUGAUAAGCUUACUUUACCUUCCCUCGACAACCCAUUCGUGGUAUAUCUCAGAUGAGGAAUCUUGAACAUGCUGUAGAACAUCGGUGUUUCAAGAGAAACUAAAUUUCAUUCUACAAUAUCUUUGUUAUAUUAUACUGUUUUUCAUUGGUUAGACAGGAUUGUGGUGGUGGUGGUGUAGGGUACCAGACACCUCAACAUACCAGGGUCGAAUCCCCUGUAUACUGAACCAUGUAUUCUAUUUACCAAAUUCCAGAAAUACAAUGGAUGUACUUAUUCGCUUCGCGGCAUAAGUUUUUU
rnacentral:rRNA from 1 species